AUUGAACGCUGGCGGCAGGCCUAACACAUGCAAGUCGAGCGGAUGAAGGGAGCUUGCUCCUGGAUUCAGCGGCGGACGGGUGAGUAAUGCCUAGGAAUCUGCCUGGUAGUGGGGGAUAACGUCCGGAAACGGGCGCUAAUACCGCAUACGUCCUGAGGGAGAAAGUGGGGGAUCUUCGGACCUCACGCUAUCAGAUGAGCCUAGGUCGGAUUAGCUAGUUGGUGGGGUAAAGGCCUACCAAGGCGACGAUCCGUAACUGGCCUGAGAGGAUGAUCAGUCACACUGGAACUGGGACACGGUCCAGACUCCUACGGGAGGCAGCAGUGGGGAAUAUUGGACAAUGGGCGAAAGCCUGAUCCAGCCAUGCCGCGUGUGUGAAGAAGGUCUUCGGAUUGUAAAGCACUUUAAGUUGGGAGGAAGGGCAGUAAGUUAAUACCUUGCUGUUUUGACGUUACCAACAGAAUAAGCACCGGCUAACUUCGUG
rnacentral:rRNA from 1 species